rnacentral:rRNA from 1 species
UGGGGAAUCUUCCGCAAUGGGCGAAAGCCUGACGGAGCAACGCCGCGUGAACGAAGAAGGUCUUAGGAUCGUAAAGUUCUGUUGUUAGGGACGAAGGGCAAGGGUUAUAAUACAGCCUUUGUUUGACGGUACCUAACGAGGAAGCCACGGCUAACUACGUGCCAGCAGCCGCGGUAAUACGUAGGCGGCAAGCGUUGUCCGGAAUUAUUGGGCGUAAAGGGAGCGCAGGCGGGAAACUAAGCGGAUCUUAAAAGUGCGGGGCUCAACCCCGUGAUGGGGUCCGAACUGGUUUUCUUGAGUGCAGGAGAGGAAAGCGGAAUUCCCAGUGUAGCGGUGAAAUGCGUAGAUAUUGGGAAGAACACCAGUGGCGAAGGCGGCUUUCUGGACUGUAACUGACGCUGAGGCUCGAAAGCUAGGGUAGCGAACGGG